GACCUAGUGGAGGUGGGACGUGGAUCAGAAUCGCGCGUCCCCGUCUGAUCCGUAGCCCUGGAAGUUUGCUUUUCCGUCCGGUGGGAACAGGCAGAAAAAUUAAAAUUGAAUGCAGGAUCCAGAGUGUUCUCUGCCUAGAGCGGUGCUCGUUUAGAAACAAGGGUCUCCGACGGAGAGAGAAGGAGCGGCGGCGGUGAUCCGGCAUGGAGUUUCCGAUGCAGCCAAUGGGCAGAUCCAGUGUCCUUGAGGAAGUAGGAGAGAGCUCGGUGCCGGCCCCUGUGCCAAUGGCGCCGACGGGAGCCGGUAUGCUGACUCUCCUUCAGGUCGUAGGAGAUUGCAUCCUCCAAGAUUCCAUACGGCUCCAUUCUCUUUCUCAGCGUGCUCAUGCCCAACCAGAUUCCCCCUGCUGGAGGUGGGAGAGAGUCAACGGAUCCGCCGCCGAAGGCCGCGACGAGCAAAGUCUUCGCAGCGGAGGAGGGACGGUCAAAUCCCAAUUGAUUUGUCAGCCUGCCAUGAGCACAGACGGUCAAAUAUGUGCAGAAGAUUUACGUCCUGAGCAGAGACGUGAGAGCUUGCCACAAGCAUCAAUGGUCAAAAAGGUUUGUUCGUCGAUUGAAUGAGUUAGUGCUUUCUUGUUUUUUUUGUACUAUCUGAAUUUCAUGACUCUUUAUCUGCUGCCCUGAAUAAUUGGUUAUUGGCACCACUAGGCUUGAAUGCAAACUCGUGACUGUGAUUUUGUUCUCUGUGGUUAGACACACAGACUUCUUAAUUUUAAAAAACAGAUUCGUUUGGGCUGGUUUUUGCAAUAGAUGUACUAUCUGAAUUUCAUGGCUCUCUGACUGCUUACCCGAAUAAUUUAACACUGGGGCCAGUAGACAUGAUCACAUGAGUGCAGCCUCAUGGCUUUGAUUUUGUUCUUUGUGGUUAGACAUACAGGGUUAGUUCGGACUUAAUUAAAAAAAUGGACUCGAUUGGGCUGGUUGUUUCAAAUGUACUCAGUUCUUGCAUGUUCUGAGUAGUACAGGCUUGUGGUGUCAGCCACAAAGUUGCAUCCAGUGGAAAUAUGAUGUGCUGACUAUAUACGUAAUCAUUAGAUUCAUGAGAUUUUUAUAGUUUUCCAGAAAUAUAAGUAUAAGAAUCUUACAUGUGGAAGUAGAUGGUUUUUUGAAACAUGUUAGUACAACUGUAAAAUGUGGUUGUCGAGUCCUGCACUGAAAUACACAGCAUUCUCGAGGAGUUUGCAUUACAGUAGUAGAAAUGUGCAGUGUCAUUGACAGGAGGUUAGAAUUUUUUUUUGAAGGAAAUGAGGAUGUUAUUGAUCAUAGUAAUUUCAUCAGGGUGAGGAUCGGUGUGGAUAAAUAAUCCCUUUACGAGGGAUGUCAAUAAGUUUCCAGAGUUGUGUUCUGGAUUUGGUAACCAGUAGAUAUAAAAAUCUAGCAAUAUUUGAUGUUUUGUGGAUUUGUGGAAGGGUAAAGCUGGAGUGGAGAACACGAGAUCUUGAAGGUACAAGUGCCCUGCGCUUAUAAGACUUCUUAGCACAACCGGUGGUACAUUGCUGAGCAUAGAGAACAGAACAACGGCUCGCUGUCCCAUAAUUUUUGUGAGACAAUAAACUGGCCAUCACACAACUAUAUUGAUGUGCAUGGCCAAUACUUGAUAAAAUAGCCAAGGCAGAACAACAUGAACCUUGCAAUUGUGUACCGUAUUAUUGGGAGCUUUUUUGGAUUGGUGGAGAAUGUGCCAUUCACUAAGUGGUCGCUUAAGAGCCUAUGCGGAAAGAUAAUAAGCAGAGAACAAGCUGCUGACGAUGUACGGAAAAUCAUGGAGGUGUUUGCACGAUUAUGAUCUAAGGAUCCACGUUCCAUAUAUCGUGUCCAAGCGGGUAGAAUAAAAAAACAAAAAACUUAAUGUGGGCAAACAGGAGCAGCAGGCAUCAGUAGUCAUUUUUUGGAGAUGUAGUGACAUUUGGCACCACCUAUCGUACUAAUCUGUAUUACAUGCCAUUUGCGCUUUCCGUAGGAGUGAACAAUCAUUUCUAGAGCAUGAUCUUUUCUGGUGUAUUGAUGCGUGAUUAGACACAGGCAAGCUUCAAGUGGGUAUUCAUAUAAUUUUUGCGGAUGAUGGGAGGCGUGGCAUCAAGGACUGUUUUGACAGAUCAUAAUCGGGCAAUGGAGCUUCCAUUAAGAGUAUCAUGCUAGACACAGCGUGUCAGUGGUGUUAGUGGCAAGUGGCAUGUCCUAAAUAAAGCUAAAGAAUAAUUGGGGCCACUGUACACUAAAAAGAGUGAAUUUAGAGCAGAAUUCCACAACGUUGUGAAUCACGUGUUGACCGUGGAUGAAAUCGAGGAAGGGUGGCAUCUGGUGCUCGAGAAAUGCAGACUGUGGACACAUCCGUACAUCUCUCGGCUCUUUGAGAGUGGACACAAGUGGGCAAAGUCAUAUUUCAAAGGUAUGUUAUGUGCUAAGAUGGCAAGUACUCAGAGUAGCGAGAGCACAAAUCACAUGCUCAAGAAUUAUGUGCCUCCUGGUUGCUGGAUGCAUAUGUUUGUUAAGAAGUACAUGAGGCUGCAGUUUGAUCAUGUGUUCGAUGAAAACUAUGAAGUGAAGAGAACAAGAAUUGGAAGACCGCUGAUGAGGUAAUCUGGCUAUACAACGACAUGCAAGCAAGAUAUACACAAGGGUCAUGUUGAAACAGUUUGGCCAUAUCUUGUAUGAGUGCGGGAUCGAGAAGUGGUAGAGAUCGAGAGUCGCAUACAUUCGAAGGCCGGGCGAAGGGAGAAGUGGUGCAGAGAUGGAGGUGAAGAGUUUGCCUGCGAGUGUUGACGGUUUGCUCACAUGGGACUCCUUUGUGGCCAUGUGUUGAAAAAAGGUGUAUGCCAUUGGAUGCGGGCUUUUGGCGGGCGACCUCCAUGCUCGUGGUUACAAAAGGAAUCAGAAGAAUUAUGUAGAUUUGACGAUGGAGAUAGCAAGGACUACCUCUACUGUUUGUGGUAAUAUCAGCAAGAAGAGAAAUUUAUUCAACACACACACAAAUACCGUCCGAUUAGACCCCAUGAGCAUCUCGUGCCGCUGCCUAUGCACACACAAGGUCAAGCUAUACAUAUGGUAUUCGAAUAUGAACAAGCAAGUGCGAGACAUACUAUUUGUUACACACCAAGACAGGCAAUUUUUUUUUUUGAAGUUAACCGCACAUAUAUUCAUAGAACAAUAGAUACACACACACUGACGCACAUAGCACCAUCAUCAUCGACAUAAUUGUCAUGUGUAUCAGUUGAUUCAGUUGUCAUCUGCUGACGAUAAACCAUACCGCCUUUGAUCACAUCUCUUGCCAGCCUCUGACUGUCAGCAGACAUAUGUUCUUUUAUAUACCUCUAUUUAAGGGUCGACAAAGAUCUGGUCUGUCCUUUUCAGCAGUCAGUUUCAGGACACGGUUAGAAAGGAUCAGGGAAGAUUAAAAAUGGUUUGAGAUGAAGAUCAUGGAGUUAGUUACGUAGAGAUUUCAUCUAGCGAAGCUUCACCAAGGAUGAUUUUUGCUAAGCUGAUCUACACUCAAAUUCACAGCUUUAUUCCUUCCCGACCGCUUGUUCUUUUUACUCUUUUGAUAUGUUCACACAACCUUACUUAAAUUUUUUUAUAGGACAGUACAGAUACGUAAACUGGUCCUAGCUAAAACAAUGGAGCUCCUUUGCUGCUAGAGAACUGGAGAAGCCCUUUGUUGUGGCUACUUCGCUCACGCUAUGGCUGAUUUGGCUUGCUUGAAUUAACUGUAUGUACUUUGAAGAGAAAGAUGACCUAGAAAUUUGCUCGUUUUGUUGUGGGAUGAGGCAUUAGAGAGUGCUACUGACCGUCUAGCAUCAUUUUCUCUUAUUGGAAUCCUUAAUUAGUAUUGCAUUCCUGUUUCAUGCAUUUAUUUGUUCAGGUGUUUUCAUCCACAUGUUACGAAGGACAAUCUUUUCC